UUUUGCUUACCACCACAAAACCUCUUCUGCUGCUACCGAAAUCAAAUCUUACAUUUAUCUCUGUGGUCAAGAGGCUGUAGACAAGGCUCUGGAACGUAGUGGAAGUUCUGUGGGAGGCUUGAGUCUUGUAGUUACUGAGGUUGAGCCAAUUGAAUACAACCCACAGCCGACUGGCUACAUUCCCCCACGAACGUAUCUUCAACACCUUCACUCAGGAGCAGAUUGUUAGAUAGGAUAUAUUGUUACGAUAUUGUAGUUCCUAUAUCUCAGAGAAUAUUCCCUAUUAUUGUAACAGUCUCGCCUUUAUAUGUAACUAUCAAUACAAAGUAUCAUUCA